rnacentral:rRNA from 1 species
CAGUAGCCGCGGUAAUACGGAGGAUCCAAGCGUUAUCCGGAAUCAUUGGGUUUAAAGGGUCCGUAGGCGGUCUUGUAAGUCAGUGGUGAAAGCCCAUCGCUCAACGGUGGAACGGCCAUUGAUACUGCAGGACUUGAAUUAUUGGGAAGUAACUAGAAUAUGUAGUGUAGCGGUGAAAUGCUUAGAGAUUACAUGGAAUACCAAUUGCGAAGGCAGGUUACUACCAAUUGAUUGACGCUGAUGGACUAAAGCGUGGGUAGCGAACAGGAUUAGAUACCCGCGUAGUCCCUGUCUCUUAUAC